UUAACCUUUAAUUUGUGUUUCGGGGAGGUCAGGAACUUACAAACUUCCAAGAUUUUGCCUUUCACGCGUCCCAAAAGAUGGUCGCGGGUAAGCUGCAGCCUAUUCCAGCUGUCUUCCGGUGAGAGGCGGGGUACCGCCCCUAGACUGGCCGCCAGCCAAUCGCAGGGCACAUAUAUCCAGGUCAUCGCAGGCCAGGAUUUUCAGUGGGCUAGCAGCAAUCAGAGCUUUGGCGUCAUCUACUCGUGUGCCUGCAACGACCAACGAAGAAGAGUGACGGAAGCAUUUCAUGAUACGCCGACGCCGUUACGGAAGGUUCAAUGUUGGGAGACCAGCAGGAAGUAUCUUUUCUACCUUGUAGACGCACAACAAUGGGGAUCUUGAGGUCGAGGUCUUGUACAGCCAUGAUGAUGCCCUGAGCGAUGACGUCGCACCUCAUGAUGCCUCCGAAGAUGUUGACUAGAAUGGCCUGAACCUGAGACAAACGAGAAAAUUUCAUGAUCGGAAUGGAGGGUCGUCGGGUACCGGGAUCAAAACUGAAACUGUUCAAAUUCAAACAAUGCCCAGCAUAGCUAUAACGCCCGGGGCUUGUUCCAAUCGCCGCAGCUUUUGAAAGGUUUGAGACAACGCGAGGCCUCAAGCAGUCUGUGAUUUCAUCAUGGACAUGGGGCCAAAUGACAGACCAAGACAGUGGCUUCUGUUGGGUAGUACAGUCCUUGAAGCCACGGUUCGUACUAUUUUCUUGUUGAUAAAUAGUAAAUAAAUACAUACAAUAAAUAAUACAAAUACAACUUUAUGAUGUUUUACCUCCAGGAGUUAAAUCGAAAUGUUGUAAAAACGUAUCGAUCCUGCUGCUUCACACAGUUCUUCUUACCUUCCUGUCGGAGGUGAUGAGCUUGAAGGCCUCCGUCACCUGAUGCGCUGUGGCCCCGCCCCCUACGUCUAGGAAGUUGGCAGGCGUCCCGCCGUGCAGCUUGAUGAUGUCCAUGGUAGCCAUCGCCAGUCCGGCUCCGUUGACUGCACGACACGUAAGAACCUUAUCUCACAAUAUUCGAAAGUUCUUAGAAGUCCUUAGAAGCUACUAACUAACCCAGGCAGCCAAUAGUUCCAUCCAGGCCGAUGUAGUUCAGGUCAGCCAAGGCCGCCUGCCGGUCUCGGGGGUCCUCCUGGGUCCAGUCCUGCAAGUCGAACACCUUCUUCUGGCGGUAGGCCGCAUUGGAAUCAAAGUUGAUCUUUGCGUCCAUGCACAUCACUGUUGAUGACACACAAGAACGGCAACCUUGUUAGCGGCGGUCCUGCUCCGUGUAGCUCAGAUUGGUCGCUAAGAGACUUGUACCAAUGCCAGAGGAGUCCUCCACCAUGGGGUUGAUCUCCAGCAUGGAGGCGUCGUACUUGAUGAACACAUUGUACAGUUUGACCAUGUUCUCCGCCGCUUCCUUCUGCAGCGCCGGCGGGAAGCCCAUCUUCUGCGCGACCUUCAGCAAGAGCAAAGGGCAACAGCUUGACCCUGGAACACGUUCUCUUCCAAUGCACACAAAUGCUAAGCGCACCGGCAUCGCAGACUGAGCGAGAAUAAAUGACUUCUGGGGUGUUUGAACAAAGCAGCCAGGGUACGUUCCCGCGUGUGAAUGCUAUUGAUCGCAACAAUAGAGGCGCAUCAAUGGAGAAAAGCCGUCUAUCGGACUCUUCUUACAAUCAGCAUCUCUUGUGCUGACAGACGUAUUGAGCGUGUGCUCUCACUAUGACAACAUCUACUCAAUAUGCAGGCCAAGGUCUACUGCAACACAAACCAACAUGGUUUACAGGCACAGCGUGACAGUGGGAGAAUGUGAAUGAAAGCAAGGGUCGGUCUGCAGGCGUAAGUUGAAAUAUAAUUUGUACGGCGCCGUGGGAAGCGGCUUUCCAUGCGAGCAUUAAAUCCCAAUCGUUUGGGUACACAGAAGGACAAACACACACACAAUUCCUCCCUUGAUCUGCCGCCUCUUUUUCGAUCUCGGGGGGGCCCCCGGCCCACGCAGUGAGAGCAUCUCCAGUUGUUUUUGUGACUGCCGUUCAUCUGUUAUUGAUCCCCACCUUGAGUGCCUGCUCCAUCUUAAUGCCCUCCACAAUGUCGAUGGGCUCCUUCACAAUGGCGUCUGGGUUUUCCGCCGCCACAUCUUCGAUGUUGACGCCCCCCUGCGAGCUUCCAAUCAACACGGGGCCCUGUGGCACAAAUGAGCAUUAAUGCAACAAAAACAAAUAAAUGCUCAUUGAAAUAUGAAGAUCAAUAUGUGCAGCCCACCAGGAUGUAUGUUAAUCGGGUCUUCAUUCACAUUUGCACGGGUGGAAAUCUUUUGGAGCUGAAUUUCAGUGCGCAUAUCAGUGAGGGUUACAUUGUGUUGUGCUGCCAUCUGGUGGUGGUCGGGAGAACUGACAACUUGACAGUAUUGGCCACCUCUAAAGUGUGUUUUCAUUCAUUCAUUUUCUGCCGCUUUUUCCUCACAAGGGUCGCUGGGGGUGCUGGAGCCUAUCCCGGCUGUCUUUGGGCGAGAGGCGGGGUACACCCCGCACUGGUGGCCAGCCAAUCACAGGGCACAUAUAGACAAACAACCAUUCACACUCACAUUCAUACCUAUGGACAAUUUGCAGUCGCCAAUUAACCUAGCAUGUUUUUGGAAUGUGGGAGGAAACCGGAGUACCCGGAGAAAGCUCACACAUGCACGGGGAGAACACGCAAACUCCACACAGAGAUGGCCGAGGGUGGAAUUGAACCCUGUGAGGUCUGCGCGCUAACCACUCCGCCCAAGUGUGUUUUCAUUAUUCAAAAAAAGUAAAAACGAUCGAUGUCGUGAGGUCUCUAAAGAUGGCAAAAGCUUGGUCGCCCGGCGCCAUCAUCUCCAUGAUUUGAAGUGUUGGAUUUGACAGUAUGACAUAAUACCACAUAAUUAUCAUGCACAGCUAUGAAAUACUGUAAAGUCCAAGCUCUACACGCCAGUCCCUGCUAAUGCUAAGUCAAGGUUCACUUGGUCUCUGGUUCAGGCCAUGCGAGGUGUAACAUCAUCUGGGCAUUUUUAGCGGUUAUCAGAGCUCCUGGUAUCGGUAUCUCAAUAUUACUCAUAUUUGAGCACCCCUAAGUAUAACAAAACCGAAGACCAGAUGGCAUCAGUUAGGUCUUGGCCGAUAAACAACAUUGCAGUAUCGGGCAUGAAAAAGUGUAUCAUGACAUCUCCAUCUUCAGUUUGAGGUUGCUGAAGGUCUGAGUGUUCUUCACCUGGAAGGAUCUCUCCAUGGUGAUGGCGAAGUAGUACUCCCUGCGCGGGUACCUGCGCUCGCAGAUGAACACCUGGUUGCAGAUGCGGCCCGCCUCCCCCGUUUGCUUGGUGUACAGCUUCCGGCCAAUCAUCUGCGACGAAAUAUCUCGCGCCUCCU